rnacentral:rRNA from 1 species
CCUACGGGAGGCAGCAGUGGGGAAUUUUGGACAAUGGACGCAAGUCUGAUCCAGCCAUUCCGCGUGCAGGAUGAAGGCCCUCGGGUUGUAAACUGCUUUUGUACAGAACGAAAAGGUUUCUCUUAAUACGAGGGGCUCAUGACGGUACUGUAAGAAUAAGCACCGGCUAACUACGUGCCAGCAGCCGCGGUAAUACGUAGGGUGCAAGCGUUAAUCGGAAUUACUGGGCGUAAAGCGUGCGCAGGCGGUUAUAUAAGACAGAUGUGAAAUCCCCGGGCUCAACCUGGGAACUGCAUUUGUGACUGUAUAGCUAGAGUACGGUAGAGGGGGAUGGAAUUCCGCGUGUAGCAGUGAAAUGCGUAGAUAUGCGGAGGAACACCGAUGGCGAAGGCAAUCCCCUGGACCUGUACUGACGCUCAUGCACGAAAGCGUGGGGAGCAAACAGGAUUAGAUACCCUGGUAGUCCACGCCCUAAACGAUGUCAACUGGUUGUUGGGUCUUCACUGACUCAGUAACGAAGCUAACGCGNGAGUAGACGCGNGGUAAGGUACGCGCGAGUAGUUAACGUUACGAAGAAGUUAGACGGCGNGAGACGNGCGACGGACGACGACGAGGGAGGAGG